AAAGUCCUUCAGGCACA
rnacentral:tRNA from 1 species